rnacentral:rRNA from 1 species
UGGGAAUAACGGCUGGAAACGGUCGCUAAUACCGAAUACGCUCCGAUUUCAACUUCGGGGGAAAGGUGGCCUCUGCUUGCAAGCUACUGCUCAUGGAUGAGUCCGCGUCCCAUUAGCUAGUUGGUGGGGUAACGGCCCACCAAGGCGACGAUGGGUAGCCGGUCUGAGAGGAUGACCGGCCACACUGGGACUGGAACACGGCCCAGACUCCUACGGGAGGCAGCAGUGGGGAAUAUUGCGCAAUGGGCGAAAGCCUGACGCAGCGACGCCGCGUGAGGGAUGAAGGUCCUCGGAUCGUAAACCUCUGUCAGGAGGGAAGAACCGCCACGGUGCUAAUCAGCCGUGGUCUGACGGUACCUCCAAAGGAAGCACCGGCUAACUCCGUGCCAGCAGCCGCGGUAAUACGGAGGGUGCGAGCGUUAAUCGGAAUCACUGGGCGUAAAGCGCACGUAGGCUGCUUGGUAAGUCAGGGGUGAAAGCCCGCGGCUCAACCGCGGAAUUGCCUUUGAUACUGCCGAGCUAGAGUCCGGGAGAGGGUAGUGGAAUUCCAGGUGUAGGAGUGAAAUCCGUAGAGAUCUGGAGGAACAUCAGUGGCGAAGGCGACUACCUGGACCGGUACUGACGCUGAGGUGCGAAAGC